rnacentral:rRNA from 1 species
GAUGAACGCUGGCGGCGUGCCUAAUACAUGCAAGUCGAGCGAACGGACGAGAAGCUUGCUUCUCUGAUGUUAGCGGCGGACGGGUGAGUAACACGUGGAUAACCUACCUAUAAGACUGGGAUAACUUCGGGAAACCGGAGCUAAUACCGGAUGGUAUUUUGAACCGCAUGGUUCAAAAGUGAAAGACGGUCUUGCUGUCACUUAUAGAUGGAUCCGCGCUGCAUUAGCUAGUUGGUAAGGUAACGGCUUACCAAGGCAACGAUGCAUAGCCGACCUGAGAGGGUGAUCGGCCACACUGGAACUGAGACACGGUACAGACUCCUACGGGAGGCAGCAGUAGGGAAUCUUCCGCAAUGGGCGAAAGCCUGACGGAGCAACGCCGCGUGAGUGAUGAAGGUCUUCGGAUCGUAAAACUCUGUUAUUAGGGAAGAACAUAUGUGUAAGUAACUGUGCACAUCUUGACGGUACCUAAUCAGAAAGCCACGGCUAACUACGUG